GCCGGGUGCCGACUCCUGUAUAGCGACCUGAGACCUCUGGGUUCUGAGAUGGGGUGUCUGGGGUCUUGGUUCAAAGCCGGGGUCUCUGGGUCCGUGAGCAGCAGCUAGG
rnacentral:miRNA from 1 species